rfam:Tupaia chinensis contig230069, whole genome shotgun sequence.
GCAUUGCCUUGGAACCUCUUUGUGUCCAGCCAGUGGCCUUGGGGGUCUAGCAGUAGUGCCAGAGCAGGCCCAGCUUGUUCAGAUCCGGGGUUGCUUAGAUGCCAUCUAAGUGGUUCCUUUGACAGCAAGCAACACUG